rnacentral:rRNA from 1 species
CCUACGGUGGGCAGCAGUGAGGAAUAUUGGUCAAUGGGCGCGAGCCUGAACCAGCCACGCAGCGUGAAGGAUGACUGCCCUACGGGUUGUAAACUUCUUUUGUAAAGGAAUAAAGUGAGGCACGUUUGCCUUUUUGUAUGUACUUUAUGAAUAAGGAUCGGCUAACUCCGUGCCAGCAGCCGCGAUAAUACGGAGGAUCCGAGCGUUAUCCGGAUUUAUUGGGUUUAACGGGAGCGUAGAUGGGUUGUUAAGUCAGUUGUGAAAGUUUGCGGCUCAACCGUAAAAUUGCAAUUGAUACUGGCAGUCUUGAGUACAGAUGAGGUAGGCGGAAUUCGUGGUGUAGCGGUGAAAUGCUUAGAUAUCACGAAGAACACCGAUUGCGAAGGCAGCUUACUAACCUGCAACUGACAUUGAUGCUCGAAAGUGUGGGUAGCAAACAGGAUUAGAUACCCGGGUAGUC